rnacentral:rRNA from 1 species
GACGAACGCUGGCGGCGUGCCUAAUACAUGCAAGUCGAACGCAGUGGGGACGGGUGAGUAACACGUGGGUAACCUCCCAUCAGAGGGGAUAACACUUGGAAACAGGUGCUAAACCGAUACUGAUGGAUGAACCCGCGGUGCAUUAGCUAGUGGGGGGGGUAACGGCUCACCAAGGCCACGAUGCAUAGCCGACCUGGGCGGGUGAUCGGCGACACGUGGACGUAGACACGGCCCAGACUCCUACGGGAGGCAGCAGUAGGGAAUCUUCGGCAAUGGACGAAAGUCUGACCUAGCAACGCCGCGUGAGUGAAGAAGGUUUUGGGAUCGUAAAACUCUGUUAUUAGGGAAGCGGUAGCUAACCAGGAAGCCACGGCUAACGACGUGCCAGCAGCCGCGGUAAUAC